GUGGAUUAGAUACCCUAGUAGUCCUGGCAGUAAACGGUGCACGUUUGGUGUGGGAGGAUUCGACCCCUUCUGCGCCGGAGCUAACGCGUUAAACGUGCCGCCUGGGGAGUACGGUCGCAAGAUUAAAACUCAAAGAAAUUGACGGGGGCCCGCACAAGCGGUGGAGUAUGUGGCUUAAUUCGAUGCAACGCGAAGAACCUUACCUGGCCUUGACAUGCAUCUCUAAGCUGGUGAAAGCCAGUGACUCCCGAAAGGGAGAAUUUGCACAGGUGCUGCACGGUUGUCGACAACU
rnacentral:rRNA from 1 species